CCUACGGGAGGCAGCAGUAGGGAAUAUUGGACAAUGGACGCAAGUCUGAUCCAGCCAUCCCGCGUGAAGGAUUAAGGCCCUAUGGGUUGUAAACUUCUUUUCUUUGGGAAUAAAAAGCGGUAUUCAUAUCGCCUUGAAGGUACCAGAGGAAUAAGCACCGGCUAACUCCGUGCCAGCAGCCGCGGUAAUACGGAGGGUGCAAGCGUUAUCCGGAUUCACUGGGUUUAAAGGGUGCGUAGGUGGCUUUGUAAGUCAGCAGUGAAAGCCUGGAGCUCAACUCCAGAAUUGCCAUUGAUACUGCAGAGCUUGAAUCAAGUUGAGGUGGAUGGAAUAUUACAUGUAGCGGUGAAAUGCUUAGAUAUGUAAUAGAACACCGAUUGCGAAGGCAGUUCACUAAGCUUGUAUUGACACUGAGGCACGAAAGCGUGGGGAUCAAACAGGAUUAGAUACCCUGGUAGUCCACGCCCUAAACGAUGCAAACUCGACAUUAGCGAUAUACAGUCAGUGUCCAAGCGAAAGCGUUAAGUUUGCCGCCGUGGUAGUUACGACGCGAGUUAGUAAGUUAAUUAGAGUGAGNGNGAGAGNGCGAGGCGACGACGAGGAGGAGG
rnacentral:rRNA from 1 species